CACUCACUCCUUCUCUGUUUUUGCUCUGCUCUCCUCUCUGCUCAAGCCCGCAGCUCGUCGCCGCCGUCCAGCAAGCCGCCCCAGCCAUGGUUUCGUGGAGUGAUUCCGGAUCCAGCUCCUACUCGUCAGGUGGCGACUCGGUCACCAGUCCGGUGAGAUCCCCAGGCCCUCCCACAAAGCGGCAUCAGCUGGAGGGGACGGGGUCAUGAAUGGAUCCAAUGCAAGCGUCCUCGGAGUCCAGCCUCGGAGCGAGAGCUGAUCCGGGCGGUCCUGGCCAAGAUGGGCCGCCUGGCUCCGUCUACUGUGGUGGCUGCGCCCCGUCUAUGCUCAGCUGCGGAUGGUUGAGCAUCUUGGAACCUGAAGAGUAGCGACCUGAAGAAGGUUCAGACUUGCCCUUGCCUAUGGCAGUUUACUAUGUUGCUGUUUUCUGUCUAGUGUUGGAUGCGUUAUGAGUAUGUUGUUGGUUACCAAGGUUCUCUAUCUACUAUCUGAACUCAGAAAGGAUUUGGCUUCAUUUGGGGGAUAGGAUUAAUCUAUGUCAGUACCUGAGAUGUUUCUUGAUAAACUAUUUCUUUAAGGAAUGUUUCAUGAAAAACUUGUUGAUGGGAAUAUGAUUUCUUUCCU